rnacentral:rRNA from 1 species
GUUUGAGGUUCUAACCUUGGUCCGUAAUCCGGGUCGGGGACAGUGCAUGGUAGGCAGUUUGACUGGGGCGGUCUCCUCCCAAAGUGUAACGGAGGAGUACGAAGGUACGCUAGGUACGGUCGGAAAUCGUGCUGAUAGUGCAAUGGCAUAAGCGUGCUUAACUGCGAGACCGACAAGUCGAGCAGGUGCGAAAGCAGGUCAUAGUGAUCCGGUGGUUCUGUAUGGAAGGGCCAUCGCUCAACGGAUAAAAGGUACUCUGGGGAUAACAGGCUGAUACCGCCCAAGAGUUCAUAUCGACGGCGGUGUUUGGCACCUCGAUGUCGGCUCAUCUCAUCCUGGGGCUGUAGCCGGUCCCAAGGGUAUGGCUGUUCGCCAUUUAAAGAGGUACGUGAGCUGGGUUUAAAACGUCGUGAGACAGUUUGGUCCCUAUCUGCCGUGGGCGCUGGAUAUUUGAAGGGGGCUGCUCCUAGUACGAGAGGACCGGAGUGGACGAACCUCUGGUGUACCGGUUGUCACGCCAGUGGCAUCGCCGGGUAGCUAUGUUCGGAAGAGAUAACCGCUGAAAGCAUCUAAGCGGGAAGCCUACCUCAAGAUAAGAUUUCCCUAGGACUUUAUGUCCUCUAAAGAGCCGUUCGAGACUAGGACGUUGAUAGGUUGGAUGUGGAAGCAUAGUGAUAUGUGAAGCUGACCAAUACUAAUUGCUCGUGAGGCUUGACUAU